CGUAGCCGACCUGAGAGGGUGAUCGGCCACACUGGGACUGAGACACGGCCCAGACUCCUACGGGAGGCAGCAGUAGGGAAUCUUCCGCAAUGGACGAAAGUCUGACGGAGCAACGCCGCGUGAGUGAUGAAGGUUUUCGGAUCGUAAAGCUCUGUUGUUAGGGAAGAACAAGUGCGAGAGUAACUGCUCGCACCUUGACGGUACCUAACCAGAAAGCCACGGCUAACUACGUGCCAGCAGCCGCGGUAAUACGUAGGUGGCAAGCGUUGUCCGGAAUUAUUGGGCGUAAAGGGCUCGCAGGCGGUUUCUUAAGUCUGAUGUGAAAGCCCCCGGCUCAACCGGGGAGGGUCAUUGGAAACUGGGAAACUUGAGUGCAGAAGAGGAGAGUGGAAUUCCACGUGUAGCGGUGAAAUGCGUAGAGAUGUGGAGGAACACCAGUGGCGAAGGCGACUCUCUGGUCUGUAACUGACGCUGAGGAGCGAAAGCGUGGGGAGCGAACAGGAUUAGAUACCCUGGUAGUCCACGCCGUAAACGAUGAGUGCUAAGUGUUAGGGGGUUUCCGCCCCUUAGUGCUGCAGCUAACGCAUUAAGCACUCCGCCUGGGGAGUACGGUCGCAAGACUGAAACUCAAAGGAAUUGACGGGGGCCCGCACAAGCGGUGGAGCAUGUGGUUUAAUUCGAAGCAACGCGAAGAACCUUACCAGGUCUUGACAUCCUCUGACAACCCUAGAGAUAGGGCUUUCCCUUCGGGGACAGAGUGACAGGUGGUGCAUGGUUGUCGUCAGCUCGUGUCGUGAGAUGUUGGGUUAAGUCCCGCAACGAGCGCAACCCUUGAUCUUAGUUGCCAGCAUUUAGUUGGGCACUCUAAGGUGACUGCCGGUGACAAACCGGAGGAAGGUGGGGAUGACGUCAAAUCAUCAUGCCCCUUAUGACCUGGGCUACACACGUGCUACAAUGGACAGAACAAAGGGCUGCGAGACCGCAAGGUUUAGCCAAUCCCAUAAAUCUGUUCUCAGUUCGGAUCGCAGUCUGCAACUCGACUGCGUGAAGCUGGAAUCGCUAGUAAUCGCGGAUCAUCAUGCCGCGGUGAAUACGUUCCCGGGCCUUGUACACACCGCCCGUCACACCACGAGAGUUUGCAACACCCGAAGUCGGUGAGGUAACCUUUAUGGAG
rnacentral:rRNA from 1 species